rnacentral:rRNA from 1 species
UACGGAGGGUGCGAGCGUUGUCCGGAAUCACUGGGCGUAAAGGGCGCGUAGGCGGCCUGAUAAGUAGGGGGUGAAAUCCUGCGGCUUAACCGCAGGGCUGCCUUCUAAACUGUCAGGCUUGAGCACAGUAGAGGCAGGUGGAAUUCCCGGUGUAGCGGUGGAAUGCGUAGAGAUCGGGAAGAACAUCAGUGGCGAAGGCGGCCUGCUGGGCUGUUGCUGACGCUGAGGCGCGAGCGCGUGGGGAGCAAACAGG